rnacentral:lncRNA from 1 species
GCAAAAACUUGUUCUCUGUUAAGGUGACAUAUCAAAGUUUGGUAUGUCAUGUGUAACAUAAAUGUCAUUCUCUUCCUGUUAGAUUUGUAUGUUGUUUGAUAAUGCAUAAACCCAGUCAAUCGCAAACCUUGCAUGUCAUAAGUAUUGAGACCCCUGCUUACCAAAAUCACCACCAUUGUCCAUGGUAGAGGAGACCGGGGACCAAGUGGGGGAUAGUACCCAUUGUUAGAAAACCAGAAAAUUCAGCAAUUCUAAUAACUUCAACAGGCAUUGCUCUUCCUGCCUUGCUUCUCAUGUUCGUUUUUUCUAGACUGGAAAGAGUUUAAUAAUGCUUACCAAAGAACAUUAUUUUCGGUCAGAAAGUGCAGUAAAUUACUCAUUGCUUGUUGUUCGAUGCUACCUACCAAUUUUACCGUCCUUAUCACUGUUAUAUAUGCCUAGCAUUUCACUGUAAUUCAUAUCCGAGUUGAACUCUCAGUUUCUUUCGUACGAGUAGUUUCCUUUAUUCAUAAUUUUUUUGGGUCUCCAUUGAUUGCUUGAGUUAUCUUUCGUGAGUUGUAAUCCAUUGCCAGAUUUUUACCUUUUCCUUUCUUCUCUGUCUUUUUUCAUUUUUUUUCGUCCUUUUUUUCAUUAUUUACUGCAGAAUUUUCCUCGAUGUUAUUUUUUUCGGGGAAAGUGAAUUUUCAUUCAUCCGCUGUCUCAUCAGUAUUUCUUGUAUUUGCAGUGCAUCUCCUUUUCUAUAAUGCGUUUUUUUUCUUAUAUGAUUAGGGAUGGACCAAGAUCAUACCAGUCAGCGUGCAACUUGCAAUGGCUUCUUGAGGAGACGUGGAGCGGAUAAAACGUAUGGAAUAAAGCUGGUUCGAGGUAAACUCUUUUUUCCUCUCAUCCACAUCGUAAUAAUAAUUUCUUUUAUAUUAUUAUUCAGAUGUUAUAUGGGACAGUUCUUGCGUAGAUGUCUUUAUUCUCGAAGCAAAUAAAAAAGGAUAAAUUAGAUUCUUGUUAUAUUUUAUUCUGUCUUAUUCUUUGAAAUCAACAUGUAUAUAAAUUUAUAUAUUGUUAACCAAGCCAUAUAUAAAUUGGUUUCAUACCAUCUCAAACCCAGCCGAACUGAGAAUUUUUAAAACUCGUGGGCUUGUGUGCUGACAAAAUAUCAUGCCCCUGUUGUCGAAGAACAAGAGAAAGAAAGAAAAGGCUGCAAUGACUUGUACUUGCUAAAUUUGAAAAAGAAGGAAAGCUACGGCUAUGAUGAAAUAACCCUUAAAAAAGAUGCUAUUGCUAUUAUAAUAAUAAUGAAUGACGCUCGUUGGAUUUUCCGAUACUCCAGGACUCUAUACACUUGAAAAGUAGAUAAAUUGGCCUUGAUCGGUAAACUAGCAUAUCUGUUGUUAUCGUGAUGGAUAUGUUGUCCUUGCCACCAUCAUAUGGAAUUUUUAUAUUGGCAUAUUAAAUACCACACGACACAUUACGAGCCUUGUGGUGGAGAAACCAUUUCGAAGAAAUUUGAAUUUUUUUUUAAGGUUAGGCCUCCCCUUUCAUUCUACCUCCACCGGAACAAGGCUUUUUUUUUUGCAAAUAAAUUACCUCCACUUGCUCAAGACAUGGUUCUUAACCACACCUUUAAUCUACAGGCCAAAGAUAAGUUGUUUAGCCUCCAAGACUAUCUUCUUCUUAACUAUGAUAUGUCUUUUUUUUGUUUUCUUUGAUUAGUAUAAAAAAAUAAGUUUUCUUUUAAAUAUAUUAUUUUGAUAUAUUUUUAAAUAAAAAAUAUUUUGAAAAACAAUUAUUACAGUAAUAAAAACAGACUCUAUAACCUUUUUUUUGUUAACAGUGGGUGUCCGGGCCAGCUUACGCGCACCUCGACUAAUCCUUCAAGACCCUGAAAUUAACGACUAUAUAAACCUUUAGUAGCCCUGAGGUUUGUGACACUCAAACUAGUGAUAUCUGAAAAGUAAAUUCAGAGUCUGAUCAAUUAAACUACACUCUUUUUUAACUUAAUUUCAAUAGACUCGUACAAGUUUUUGAUGCACCGAGUUUUUCCUUGUAUAAGGAAAAAAUACAUCAGCGGUUUGGUAAAUUGCAUUUCUUGAAUUAUUUUUCCAUGAAAAUGUUAUACUUGAAAAACUGUUCAGUUGUGAGGUUCUGAUAGCAUCCAUAUAACAGAAGUGUUCUUGAGAUCUUCUGUCAAAGAAUUUGAGGACAAAUCUGAGCUUAUCCAUUAAAGAAAUUGUAAAAAGAAAAGAAGAAAACACAUCAUCCACUAAAAGUUAUUGGAAAAGGGUAGCUCUCUCUCGAGAGUGAAAAUAGAUAGUCUCGAAGGCAAUGAUGAGAAGGCUUUCAGUCCGUGAUUGACGGUGUUAUUCAGUUAAGGUCGUUACUGUGUCACCAACCACCGAGAAAUAAUGUAAACAUUGACCAAAACAAUGGUGGUUGUUUUUGAAAUUAGAAACGAGGAGCCAGACAAUUAUUGUGCCCUUAUUCUUUUUUUUUUGCUUCGAAGACGCAACAAUAUAGUAUGAAACUGUUUGUUACAGUUGUAUUUUGUUUUUUAAAAUAAUUUUUUUUAUAUUUUUUAAAAUUUAUUUUUAAUAUUAAUGUAUUAAAAUAAUAUGAAGAUUUUUUUAAAAUAUUUUGUAAUAAAGAAAAAAUAUUAAAAUUUUUCAAAAAUAUUUUUGAAAUGUAAAAAUAAACUGUUUUAUAUGUGUGUGGACGUUUUUCCAAUUGUAAUUUGUAAGUGACUCCAUGGUGACUCAAAAGAGUUGUAAUAAAUAUGAAAUUUAUUUGUUAAAUCUUUUGCAGCAUUUUGUUUCCUCUUUCAACUCUAAACAGUAAAUUAGAGUUAGAAUGGAGACAGAGGCUUGGCAGAUUCGAUUUGGUGGCGAGCAGAAGGCAUUGAAUUGAACAGUAACAAUAAAUUACUAAAAUUAAAGUUCUUAUGAGAUUAAUUAAGAUGCACGCAAGUUAAUCCAUAAAAAAAAAUUACUACAAAGACUCUAAUCAAUGUGGUAUGAAAACUUUGUAUGCUUCCACUGUUCACCUUAUUAUAUUUUACCGUG